CACCAAAACAACUGUCGGCGUAGAUCAAAUCCAGAUGCCGACGCGCACUCCCCACGAAAACCAGAGGCGGCGGGGUUUCCUUCCCCCCUCCCCCCUUAUUUAUUUCUCCAACGCCAUUGAUGCACAUAUAUAUAGUUGGACCAAGCAGGAACAGUUUCCUCCCAAAUAUCAAUCAAAUCAUCGCUUAGGAUCUUUGGUACCUGCGUUUCGAUUGUAAGUUGUUGCUUUCAGGAUGAACUUUUGCUAAUUUUCUGUUGUUUCUUUCAAUUGAGAGCUGUGUUUCGUGCCCAUAGUGUUAGGAGUUUCUGAGAUUAGCUAUGGCUAUGGCUUUGGAUUGUUCAUUUUUGGUUGAAUUGCAUUGAUUUUGAUUUUGUUUUCGGUUUCGGUUUCGCCUAAUUUCGGCGGUUUUCGAUUAGGUUACGUAACCCUAGUUUCUUCCCCAAUUAGGAUAUUCCUUGAUUGCGGUGCAAGUUAGCUUUUAUAACCGCCUGGUGAUCAGUUUCUUCUCUUCCAAGUACCUGUUUCUUCCUUUAUUUCAAUGGAAUCAAUGGCUGAUUCUUGUGAAAGAUUAAUUCAAAAGAAGAGCACAAAGCUCACCCUCUUCGAAGACCUCCUCCAACCUUCGAAUCCCCAACCAAACCCGAAUUCCAUGACAAGUGAUUACAGGGAAGAUUCCUGCCCUUCCGAUUGCGAAAGUGUUGUUUCGGGGCUGGAAAACGAGCCUCUGUUCGGCAGUAACAACAACAAUUUGAUCCGAAUCGGAAACGAAGAUAUGAUUUACGCGACUAUUAGUAAGAAAUUGGUGUCGAAUUUGAAAUCGAACGGAUUUACCAAUGCCGAAGUCGAGGCCAUCCAUCGGAGAGACUAUUCCGGGAUCAUGAGCCAGGCGAAGCUUCAAUCCUUCUGUAUAUAUGCGAAAGCCGUCGGAAUGAAAUGUGGCUAUGGAAAUGCCAAUGUGAAGUACGCCUGGUACGGCGCCGGCAAGAAGGAGAUCACCGGAAUCCUCUCCCACGGCUUCUGCUUUCCGGCGAAUUCGCCACAAGGCGUAUCUCUAUCCCCGGCGGAUCAUCCGAACCUAAGCGUGCAAUCGUCGGCUGCUGAUGAUGACGACGGGUUGCGCCAUUUGUUGCUUUGCCGCGUGAUCCUCGGGAAGGCAGAGGUUAUAAGUCCCGGCUCGGGGCAGUGUAAUCCGAGCUCCGAGGAAUUCGAUUCCGGGGUGGAUAAUUUACUGGCGCCGGGGAGAUAUGUUGUUUGGAAUUCGUGUAUGAACACGCAUAUACUUCCCGAGUUCGUCGUCAGUUUCCGUGCAACCCCUUCUUGCAGGGGUUGUGAGAGGAUGUCGCAGCCUACAACAAGAACGCCGCAUUCGCAUUGGAUGCCGUUUCCCGCACUGAUCGCUGCCCUUGCCAAGUUCUUACCUGCCGACGCCGUUGGCCUUAUUUCCCGGCAUUACGGUGAUUACAAGAAGAAGAAGAUACCGCGGUAUGAGAUGAUACAAAAAGUGAGAAAAAUUGCCGGGGAUGAUAUUCUCAUGUCCAUCAUAAAAUUCAACCGGCGAAAGUAGAUUAGAAGUUCGACGAUAUCCGUUGGAGCGGUAACAACAACAUAGAGAAAGGAAGAUCUAUGAGAUGAAAUGAGAUUGAGGAUUGUUGAGCUAUGUUCGAUUUUAAGGAUGGCUAUAAAUUCUCCAACGCCAAUGGUCACGCUUUUCGUUCCUUCCAACAAACACAAACCCACUCAGGCCCUGCGCCUGACUCCGCCAUUGUUGAGCCGCAUGUUUCCUCGAGAGGUAGGUGUGGUUUCACAGAGAUGGAAAUGCAGGCGUCUGGCCCCUACAUCUCGCUCUCCUCUUCCUUCAACCCCCGAAUCAACGGUAAUCUCACCGCAAUUGCCGCCAGGGUCGCCGAAAAUUCCGAUUCCAAUCAAGGAGCAGUUCCGCGUCUCAGCGAUGGCGGCGAAAGAGAUUCGGAUUUUUCCUUCUCGACGCCAGAUUUAAAGCUCUGUUCUCCUAUUCCGGCGGAUGAGAUCUUCCACAACGGUAAGAUCCUACCGGUUUAUCGCGAUGUUGCGACGCUCGAAAUUGCGGAGUUCUGCGACGAGAAGGUAAAUGAGAACGAAAUUAGGAAUUCUGAUUUUACCGAUGUUCCGAGUCCGUUGAGGAUGCUUUUUGUUGAGGAAAUGCAUACGCAGAGAACGACGUCGUCUUCGAGCUCGUCUUCUGGAAAUGAAUCGGUGACCGUGGAGGAGGAGACGCGGUGGAAGAAGAUCGGCUUCCACGGAUUUAAUUCGAAGAUAUGGAAGUUCAGAGACCUUCUGCAUAAAUUUCAUAACCGCCAUGGAAGCAGGGGAGCCUUCAUGUUCCUGAACCAGA